CUGAAAGAAUGCCAGUUGCAAUGAAAGCAAGCCAUGAGGAAGACAGACAGGCAGUCUUUGAUGCAAAACAUUUGGAAAAUAAUGCUCAGCUGUUGAAAAGGUUGAAAUUUCUGCUUUCUCAUAUUUUAUAAGUAAAGAAGAAAUCUAAGAACACUUGUUAGAAAGUUUUUUCUCCAGUGGUCGGUCCAAUGUACAUUUCCCAAAAAUGGUUACCUCCAAAAACUCAUCAUAUUACUUAGCCUAAGCGCCAGUGAAAUAGUCUUUAUAUCAAUUAUCCCACAAGUUUAUAGUGCAGGGUGAGAGAUUAGCAGAAAAUAUACUUUUUCAGACCUUGUGGCCAUUUCAAUUGCUUCUGAUUUUUUGAUGUCUAAAAUAGGUAAUACUCCCUACCUAAUUCAUAGGUGUUGUGAAAAUUAAUGAAUAAAUACUAAGAGCUUUGGGAGGGAUUUAAAAGGGAGAUGUUAUUGUAUGCUAUUAUUAUAUCCUUGUUUCUAUUCUGAAGUCAUAAUGCUCUGAUAGUGACACUGUCAUCAUCACCAUGGAAACCCAUGAUAUAUGUCACUUUUUUCUCUGGGGCCUUUCUCCAUCCUCCAGGCAGUUCCUGAUGCCGCCACAAAAAUGCUUAGCCCCCAUUUCUGAUCAUCUUUAAGUUCCCUCACUGAUAUCAGGUGGCUUCUUCAAAUGCAUUUUUAAGUAUCUCAGUGAUGAUGAAGAAGAACGGAUACAUCAAUCAGGAUUCAGGAAGACAGCUUUUGCAGAAAAUGCUUAAAGGGAAGCAUCAAGCAUUGGUGUUGAUAUUUGAAAGUUUAAGAGAGGUAUACUUUUAUUCAGUCAACACAUGACAAAUGUAAAAGGCACUCAUUUGUUGUUCCUGGAACAAGCUUGGCAGCAUUCCAUUUAGACAUCUGCCCUUUCAUCGUCCCACUUUUUACUUAUUUCAGUCCUUUCAGUCUGAAUAUUUCCUCCUGAGGCAUUUUUCUGCCCUCAGAAAUGACUCCCUGCUCCCAGUUCCUGUAGCCUUUAUCAUACACACCUUUCACUUCGAAAUUUAGCACGUCACAUUACACCAUUAUUGAAUAAAUAUAUAUCCUUCCCAAGUGUAUCAGA